GGACCCAGGUCGGAGAGUGUCCCCCUUGUCGGCGCCGGAUCACCUCGACCCAUUUCUCAACUCUCUGGCUGCACUCGAACAUCGCCUCUGGUGACAGAUUUCACAGCGUUACCAGGUCCACUGCAGUAUGGAAGGUCCCCCUGGCUCCUGGAGCAGCGCGGUGAACAGCAUCCGCUGCCGCACGCUCAAGUCAGGCCACUGGUACCAGUUGCGAGCAACGUAGGCGACACCACGUUCCAGCUUUGCCUGUGACAUGAGCAGUCCGUGAUGUCUCCGAGCAGCCGGCUACUCGACUUUGGAUGUCGGUUGGCCAGGAUGUCCAGCAGGAGCAGGGUCCUCACCAGAAGUGCGACUAUGGCGAGGAUAUCCUCACCGCGGACAUCCUCACCGGAAGUGGCGACUAUGGCGAGAAUGUCCUCACCGCUAACUUGGCACGGCCUUCCCUCGAUCAGGAGCAACUUGGUGCGAGACUGCCGAACAGCCGCUGACCCAGGCUGGAGAGGUUCAGCUCGAACGUCAGGUCUCGAACCUGCGUCAGAGUGGCCACAUUUAUCGUCACGACAACGAGGCAGUCAACACCGUUGCUGGAAAUUGCGACAGACGCGUC